CGGCGGUGGGGGCCCAGGGAAGAGGAAGCUGGACGGGAAUGCAUGGUCAUCACGGGCCUUUACUGAGCAUCUCCUCUGUUCCCACGCCAGUCAACCCAUUUCAUUUCUACAAUAACCUCACAAGGUCAUCAAGCACUUAGCUGAGAAGACUGAGUCACAGAGAAAUCAAAUACUUCGAUUGCUAACUGACCUUAGGAGUCCCCUGGGCGCCACUGCCAUCCCUGGGGGCCAGCUUGCCACAGUCUUACAGGCAACACAGGUUUCUUACCAUUUUAUUCAUGAGGCGAAGCAGGCUCCCUGCUGAGCAGAGUCCGAUGCAGAGC